rnacentral:rRNA from 1 species
UACGUAGGGUGCGGGCGUUAAUCGGAAUUACUGGGCGUAAAGCGUGCGCAGGCGGCUUUUCAAGUCAGGUGUGAAAUCCCCGGGCUUAACCUGGGAAUGGCGCUUGAAACUGGAAGGCUUGAGUGUGGCAGAGGGGGGUGGAAUUCCACGUGUAGCAGUGAAAUGCGUAGAGAUGUGGAGGAACACCGAUGGCGAAGGCAGCCCCCUGGGCUGACACUGACGCUCAGGCACGAAAGCGUGGGGAGCAAACAGG